UGGCUUAAGAGCAGACAUCACCUGCACCCAC
rnacentral:piRNA from 1 species